rnacentral:rRNA from 1 species
GACGAACGCUGGCGGCGUGCUUAACACAUGCAAGUCGAACGGUAAGGCCCUUCGGGGUCCACGAGUGGCGAACGGGUGAGUAACACGUGGGUAAUCUGCCCUGCACAUCGGGAUAAGCCUGGGAAACUGGGUCUAAUACCGAAUAGGACCACAGGACACAUGUCCUGUGGUGGAAAGCUUUUGCGGUGUGGGAUGGGCCCGCGGCCUAUCAGCUUGUUGGUGGGGUGAUGGCCUACCAAGGCGACGACGGGUAGCCGGCCUGAGAGGGUGUCCGGCCACACUGGGACUGAGAUACGGCCCAGACUCCUACGGGAGGCAGCAGUGGGGAAUAUUGCACAAUGGGCGAAAGCCUGAUGCAGCGACGCCGCGUGGGGGAUGACGGCCUUCGGGUUGUAAACCUCUUUCACCAUCGACGAAGGUCCGGGUUUUCUCGGGCUGACGGUAGGUGGAGAAGAAGCACCGGCCAACUACG